GAGAGGGGGUGAAUAGUGACCGAGUGAGGGAGGAAGAGGGUGACUAGUGACAGAGUGAGGAAGGGGGUGACACAGUGAUAGUCACCCCAUUCCUCCCUCUGUCACUAAUCACCACCUCCCUCACUCUCACUAGUCACCCCUUCCCUCCCUCACUCUGUCACUAGUCACACCCUCCCUCUCUCUGUCACUAGUCACACCCUCCCUCUC